AACUUAUGAUUUUAUGGCUAAGAUCAAAGUGUAGUAUCUGUUCUUAUCAGCUUAAUAUCUGAUAUGGUCCCUAUUUGGGACCAUCAAUAUUAAAUUGAUUUUUAGAAUGAGGCAAAGAGUUAGGGGCUUGCUCCACCUUUGCCAUGUUUUUUUCUAAAUGGCAGUGCCCCAGCUUGGCCACAGCUCAU